rfam:Gossypium raimondii Chr13_contig_308, whole genome shotgun sequence.
CUAUCUCCCAGAGUUCCUCCCAAACACUUCAGUAGGACAAAAUUCCCUCUGUUAAGGUUCUUAAAAUAGCCUCAGUGAAGUGUUCAGGGGAACUCCAGGGAACAA